GGGAUACCCGCUGAACUUAAGCAUAUCNAUAAGCGGAGGANAAGAAACAACAGGGAUUGCCUCAGUAACNGCGAGUGAAGCGGCAAGAGCUCAAAUUUGAAAGCUGGCCCCCUCGGGGCCCGCGUUGUAAUUUGCAGAGGAUGCUUCGGGAGCGGCCCCCAUCUAAGUGCCCUGGAACGGGCCGUCAUAGAGGGUGAGAAUCCCGUCUGGGAUGGGGUGCCCGCGCCCGUGUGAAGCUCCUUCGACGAGUCGAGUUGUUUGGGAAUGCAGCUCUAAAUGGGUGGUAAAUUUCAUCUAAAGCUAAAUAUUGGCCGGAGACCGAUAGCGCACAAGUAGAGUGAUCGAAAGAUGAAAAGCACUUUGAAAAGAGAGUUAAAAAGCACGUGAAAUUGUUGAAAGGGAAGCGCUUGCGACCAGACUCGCCCGCGGGGUUCAGCCGGCAUUCGUGCCGGUGUACUUCCCCACGGGCGGGCCAGCGUCGGUUUGGGCGGCCGGUCAAAGGCCCUCGGAAUGUAACGCCUCUCGGGCGUCUUAUAGCCGAGGGUGCCAUGCNGCCAGCCCGGCU
rnacentral:rRNA from 1 species